rnacentral:tRNA from 1 species
AAAAUUUUAGUUUAAGAAAAAUUUUUUUUUUACAAAAAAAAGAUAUUAAAUUUAUAUAAUAUAUUUUA